GCCUGCCCGGUGACCCUGGGUUAAACGGCCGCGGUAUUUUAACCGUGCGAAGGUAGCGCAAUCACUUGUCCUUUAAAUGAGGACCUGUAUGAAUGGCUAGACGAGGGCUUAGCUGUCUCCUCCCCCCAGUCAAUGAAAUUGAUCUCCCCGUGCAGAAGCGGGGAUACUACCAUAAGACGAGAAGACCCUAUGGAGCUUUAGACACUAGACAGCCUACGUUAAACUUCCACUCCAAAGUGGAAAAAACAUUGUAGCUCCUGUCUCUCCUGUCUUCGGUUGGGGCGACCGCGGAGGAUAAAAAAGCCUCCAUGUGGACCGAGGCUACUAGCCUCACAACUAARAGCUGCAGCUCCAAGCAACAGAAAUUCUGACCAGUGUGAUCCGGCAUAUGCCGAUUAACGGAACAAGUUACCCUAGGGAUAACAGCGCAAUCCUCUCCCAGAGUCCCUAUCGACGAGGGGGUUUACGACCUCGAUGUUGGAUCAGGACAUCCUAUUGGUGCAGCCGCUAAUAAGGGUUCGUUUGUUCAACGAUUAAAGUCCU
rnacentral:rRNA from 1 species